rnacentral:lncRNA from 1 species
AAGCAAAAAAAAAAAAAAAUUUUGGACGGUGUCUGAGGAAUGAUACCCAAGGUUGAUCUCUGGCCUCUACACACAUGAAUACACACACACGAAGUAUAGUACAACUUUGUGUUAGUAAAACUGGGACUCAGGUUUUCACUACCUUAAAGGGAGUAAGAAAUGGCUUAUUUUACAGUCAAAUUUGAAUGACCAUGGCCAAGGAACUGUAGAAAUAGUUUGCCCCUGUUUCCCUGCCCCAUUUUCAUGAGGUUUUACAGUAGCAGGACAAAGAAAGUCAUAAAUCAAGGCAAUUUAAAUCUUUUAUUGGUGAGCUUAAGUUUCCAACCCAGGACAAAGGGCUUCGGUGCCUAUUUAACAUAUCAAAGUGGACCAGGCUGCCUGGUUCUCCCAACACUCCCUACCUGUUACAGAGUGAGGCUAGUAUACCCAGCCCUCUACCCUAAACUUUCUAGCAUAGGGGCUGGUGCCCUUCCCUCAAAUAAUCCCGCCCUUUUUUGUUCUCUGGUCUCUUGACUGUUGAGCCUGACUUCCCUCUUUCCCCUCUCCCUUCCUCCCCUGUUCCCCACCCCCAUCAUAGCCUGUCUGUGUCCUCUCUGGACUCUCCCAGAUGUCCCUGUGUCUGUCUACAUUCUCCCUUCUAUCUACAGUAACCUAUCUCCUCCACCAUACAUAAGAGCAAUCAUGUAACUUUCCUUCCCUUUUUCUUUCUUUUCUUCUUUCUUUCUUUUUUUUUUAAAUUCAGCGAGUCAUCAGAGAGGCAGUUACAGCAAGAUGGUGAAUCUCCCAUAGACCCCCAAGAUGCCACGUGAUGACGUUCUCAGCUUUCGUUGGGGCCGGUGGUCUGUUAAUAGGUUCCAAAGGGUUUUUAAUCUGUUAGUUACAAGAUGUUAAUUCCAAAACAUAGAUGGGCAAGGGCUGGCUGUCCAGGGAGCUAAAGCUGGCCUGAGAGAAGGUCCUCAGCAUUGCGACCUGUUCGCACCACUGCGGUUCUCAUUGGUUAAUCUUUACGCACACAGCUUCUUUCCGAAUGUUCUUGUCCACAUAAGAAAACAAUACCGCUUUUGCUUAUUGCUCAUACAAGGCGCUCAUUGAAUCGGCAACUCUGCCCCACCCAGCUACCGAACGGCCAGGCAGCUGAAACCAGCCCGCACAGCAGCCUUGUCUGAAACUCGAGGAUGAAUCCCUUGGCUCUUUCCAACCGCUGGAGGUGGAGAACUGCUGCGUCGGUUGGGCCUGGAAGGGGAAAGAAACUGGAUAUAGAAAUAAUUUCUGCCAUACCCCAUUCUCAGUGACCUGGAACUUUGGAUGAUUUCCUAGAACAAUGUAAGAAACCGAUCUCAAGAGGCAAAGCUAAGGCUACAUAACAAGCAGUCACGCCCUGAGGUCCCACGCCAAGGCUGGAGUCUCGGAGUGAGAAGCGUCAGAGAGCUGUAAGCCAAUCAGGAAGCAAGUGCCAGCAUCCUGAGAAAGUCCUCCUGUGGCCAAGGCCAAGCUGUCAUGAGGUUUGUUUUAGCUGACCUUGUUUUCAUAUGAAGUGGUACUGAACCCUCCAAGGACGUUGAAUGGACCACUUGACAUCUCAGACUUCCUCUAGAUGUUCUCCAGAACCAAAUGGUCUUUGCAUCCUCAGAAUGCCUAACAGUUGGGACUGGGGAGAGAACUCCUUCGUUAAAGUGCUUCUAGUGCAAGUCUGAGGAUAUGAGUUCAAAUCCUAGGUACUCAGAGAAAAGCCAAGUGCGAUGACAUGAAUGUGUAACCCAAGCACUGGAUGAGUGGGCUAGAACUUACUAGCCAGUUUAGCCUAGCCAAAUUGGUGAGCUCGACGUUCAGUGAGAGAACCUAUCUCAAAAGGUACCAUCUUUGUUCCAAACAACUCACCUUUUGCCAGUGGGAGGGGCUUCAGACGGGCCACUGGAUCCUUCUGCCAUGGUCCUUGACAGAGGAGAGGAACACUGGAGGUGUCCAAUGCCCUGGUCUGCUGAGCCGUUUCUAAGACAUGGAAGAAGCAAGGGAGCACUCGCAUCUGAGAACAACUGUGCUACAUCAGGCCCAGGUGAGUGGUCUGAUCAGACUGGAAGGACAGAAGAACAGAAGGACACAGAAGAACAGAAGGACAUGAUGAUGAGGACCUGCUGAUGAGUGUCCUUGUACUCUGGGGAUGGUGGAUCUCCAGAUGAAAUCUCAACAGGCGUGAGGUGUAGUCCUGACUGGCCUGGAAUUCCCACUGUAGAUCAGGUUGCCUUGAAGUUGCAAACAUCAGCCUACCUCUAUUGCCUAGAGGCUGUGCGUACCUACAUUUCUCUGCUUUCUUAUUUAAUUAUGUUUACACGUGUGGAUGUUUCACCUGCCUAUUUGUCUAUGACCCACAUGAAUUCCUGGUGCUGGAGAAGGCCAGUCCCCUUGGGACUGGAUUUACAGACAGCUUCGAGCCAUUCAGGUGUGGGGAAUCAAACCUGGUCCUCUGUAGAACAGCCAGUGCUCUUAACCACUGAGCCAUCUUUCCAGCCUGUUUGUUUUUGUUUGUUUGUGAGAGUCUCACUAUAUAGCUCUGGCUGGCCUAGAAUUCAAUAUGUAGAGCAGCUGGGCCAAAAGUUGGAAUCAAAGGCAUGUGCCACCAUCUCCCGGGGCAUUUUUAGCUGAGACUCCCAAGAGGUGAUAAAAGCAGUGUGGGAACCCAGGGUAGCUGAUUUGAUGAAAACAAAUGAAUAAACAACAAGAACAUCAGAAUCCGUCCAUCAUGUGUGAAGCUUCUGUCAAGGCUGUAUUGUUUCUUGGAGAAGCCAGUUCACAUCUUUAUAGCAUUGUAUCCUGCAGCUUCUAAAGUGCCUGGAAUUGGAAGGGAAGAGAAAGGCUACCCAGAGGUCCUGUUCCAGCCUCUCUCUCUAAUCUCUGCCUCGACCUUUAACAAAUGUUUCACAUGU